rnacentral:lncRNA from 1 species
AAUCUCCUGUGCCAAGUCAGAGUCAGGUCUAGUGAGCAAUGCAAAGCCCAAGCCACUUGGUUUAAGACAGCAGAUAACAGAAAUAGUGACAUUUAAGAGCAAAUUAAUGUUAUCGACUUUGGGGAAAUGAUUUUCUUUUUAGGAAAGUGCAAAAAUUUAAAGCAUCUCUUACUUCAGUUGUAAUUCAAAUAGCUCAAGAUGUCAUUUCUAAGUAACAGAACUUGUACUUGAGCAAGGACCAUGAUUUGGAUCAUAGUAUCCUUGCUUUACUAAAGCUUCCUUAAAGAGUAAAAGUGAAAAAAAUAAAGGCAUCGCUGUUGGCUAAUAAUACCUCUGAGACUUCUAGAAGGCUACUCAUGUCGUGUGGCCAGCUGUAUUUCCACUCAGUUGUUGCCGGAUACAAAACACAUGCCAUCUGUAAUUGACAACCCUGUCAAUUGAUGUACCAAAGAACCGCCUUCAACUUAGAAGCUUCUGUCCAAAACAAACUACAGAAAGUGAAUUUUAACAGCUGUCAAAAGUUACCUCCAUAGUCUCUGGACUUCACUGAUCCACUUUAUAGCAUCGAAUGAACUAACUUAUGUAAAAUUAUGUGCCUUCUUCAAACUCAAUCUAACAUUCAGAAUACAUUUAUGCACUGGCAUCUUGCUGUGUUUUGGAAGAUACAGGAGUCUUGGUUUUUUGGAACUGUGUUUUGGUAGAAUGAGAAGCUAAAACAAAAGUAUCAGAUUAUUAAAAGCAUACUAUAUAAAAACAUAGAGGGAGGAAAAAAGGGAAGAAGGGAGAUAGAAGACUUGGAGAUAGAGGGAGCAGUUUGGAGGGAAGAGGGUUAAUCUGAUUUUUUUUUCAAGCCCCGAGAAAACCCAAACAUAUCAGGAAGACAGGCAUGAUACCCUCUGGAGCAGAUAUGAGCUAAGUGGGUUCUAGGGAGGGAAGAGCUGGGUGAGUGGCCUUUCUCCAUACAAAGAGUGAGGAUUUGAGUAGAAAAGCAACAUAACAAAGGGGUUGGUUUUCACAAAUAGCCAUCUAUACAAUAAAGCUGUUUUUCACAAAUAC